rnacentral:rRNA from 1 species
UACGUAGGGUGCAAGCGUUGUCCGGAAUUAUUGGGCGUAAAGAGCUCGUAGGCGGUUUGUCGCGUCUGCUGUGAAAACUCGGGGCUUAACUCCGGGCCUGCAGUGGGUACGGGCAGACUAGAGUGCGAUAGGGGAGACUGGAAUUCCUGGUGUAGCGGUGAAAUGCGCAGAUAUCAGGAGGAACACCGGUGGCGAAGGCGGGUCUCUGGGCCGUAACUGACGCUGAGGAGCGAAAGCGUGGGGAGCGAACAGG